UAAUAAAGUGGCUGAGAGGAAAGGCGAUGAAUUGUAAAUUCAUAAACAAGUUGUACUUCUUUAUUAUA
rnacentral:tRNA from 1 species